UACGGAGGGGGCUAGCGUUGUUCGGAAUUACUGGGCGUAAAGCGUACGUAGGCGGCUUUGUAAGUUAGAGGUGAAAGCCCGGGGCUCAACCCCGGAAUUGCCUUUAAGACUGCAUCGCUUGAACGUCGGAGAGGUGAGUGGAAUUCCACGUGUAGCGGUGAAAUGCGUAGAGAUGUGGAGGAACACCUGUGGCGAAGGCGCCUUGCUGGCCAAUUACUGACGCUGAGGCACGAAAGCGUGGGGAGCAAACAGG
rnacentral:rRNA from 1 species